rnacentral:rRNA from 1 species
AUACGGAGGAUCCGAGCGUUAUCCGGAUUUAUUGGGUUUAAAGGGUGCGCAGGCGGGAGAUUAAGUCGGCGGUGAAAUUUUGCAGAUCAACUGUAACAGUGCCUUCGAAACUGGUUUCCUUGAGUGUAGAUGAAGUAGGCGGAAUUUGUGGUGUAGCGGGGAAAUGCAUAGAUAUCACGAGGAACUCCGAUUGCGCAGGCAGCUUACUAAACUACUACUGACGCUCAGGCACGAAGGCGUGGGGAUCAAACAGGAUUAGAUACCCUGGUAGUCCACGCAGUAAACGAUGAUUACUAGCUGUUUGCGAUACAAUGUAAGCGGCUGAGCGAAAGCGUUAAGUAAUCCACCUGGGGAGUACGUUCGCAAGAAUGAAACUCAAAUGAAUUGACGGGG